rnacentral:lncRNA from 1 species
GGUUCGAGUCUUGUGGGGGUGGCACAAAUUGCUCCUCUGGUCUAUCAUCUUCCUCCAUCUCAUCACCUGAAAAAUCCUGGUCAUUCUGAACAUUGUCCCCUACAGAUGGGGCAGAAGCUGCAUAAAUCCAGUUAGCAACAUUUGCAAUACUAAUAGAAUCAGGUGCUGGUAACGCAAGUACUUCCACAUUAUGAAUUACCAGAAAAUAAUAUUUUGGCAUGAUUACAAUCAUUUGUUGAUUGACAAGAGUGUUCAUGUCAAUCUUUGUCUUACCUGCCACUGCUGGUUCUUCCAUCAAGAGCCGACCAUAACCAAAGUGGUCUGCAAUCUGAGUGAUC